AACUUAAAGGCUUUGAUCAUUAAGUCCAUGAUGCUUCCUUCCAACAUGUUGAUAACCAUGCUAAUUGAAGAACCAAUUAAAUGAACUGGAAGUAAAGCAAGG